rnacentral:lncRNA from 1 species
AGGCUGGGCGUGGUGGCUCAUACCUGUAAUCCCAGCCCUUUUUUUUUGUUUGUUUAAUUUUACUUUAAGUUCUAGGGUACAUGUGCACAACAUGCAGGUUUGUUACAUAUGUAUACAUGUGCCAUGUUGGUGAGCUACACCCAUUAACUCGUCAUUUACAUUAGGUAUAUCUCCUAAUGCUAUCCCUCCCCUCUCCCCCCACCCCACCACAGGCCUCUGUUUUUUUAAUUUUUGAGAAAGGGUCUCACUCUGUUGCCCAGGCUGAAGUGCAGUGUCGCAAUCAUGACUCACUGCAACCUCAGCCUCCUGGGCUCAAGCAAUCCUCCCACCUCAGUGCCCCGAGUAGCUGGGACUACAGGCACAAACUAGCAUGCCUGGCUAAUUUUUGUAUUUUUUGUAGAGACGGGGUCUCACCAUGUUGCCCAGGCUGGUCUUGAACUCCUGAGCUCAAGCAAUCCUCCCGUCUCAGCCUCCCAAAGUGCUGGGAUUACAGGCAUGAGCCACCACACCCGGCCCUUAAUCGUAGUAAUAAAUAUUUACGCUGGAUCAGACUCUGAGCUGGGCUCUGGAAAUACAGAAAUUAAUCAAACACAAAGCCUGCCACCGGGAGCUCACAGUCCAAUGAAGAGGGCGGCUGUGGCAAUAGUUAGGAUGCAGUAUGGGAAGAGGUACAGGAGAGGACCCUUCCUGGGCUUGGAUAUCCCAGAGGAAGGAGCCCUCACUCUGCCUGCCUGGCCAGGCAGGAGAGGACAGUGGUAGACAGUGAAGGAGGGAAAGAUGCAUGAGUUAACAGGACCAGUGUGAGCAGCGGAAGAGCAGCUGGCGUGGCUGUGGCAUGGUGGAAUAUGUUGGAGGGACUGGAACAGUGAAGGCGCCCAAGGAGAGACACUGGAAAGGAGGCAGUGGGUGGCUCCCAGGGCCUUGAAUGUGACGCCAAGAGGUUUGGAACUUAUUCUACAGGUCAGCAGGAGAUGGAGGUGAUGUUGGAUAGAACAUAGAUUUUUUUUUUUUUUUUUUUUUUUUUAAGGGAGUCAGGUUCGGGCGCUGUGGCUCAUACCUGUAAUCCCAGCACUUUGGGAGGCCGAGGUGGGCAGAUCAUCUAGGUCAGGAGUUCCCCGCUUGCACGGACGCCCCCUCACGUACCAGCCCCCGGCCGCCGCCGCCGCUCAUCGUCG